AAUGUUUUUUAAAAAAAAAAAAAUUCCUNGGGGGAAAAAAAAAAAAANNGCCCCCCCCAAAAGAAGAGGGGGCGAAUAAUUCGCCCCCGCCCCCCGCGUUAUAUUUNUUUCCCGAGNUUUUUCGGGUUUUUUGGGGGUAAAGCGGGGUUUAGGGGGUUAUUUAAGUUUGAUGUGAAAAUGCAGGGCUCAACUCUGUAUUGCGUUGGAAACUGUAUAACUAGAGUACUGGAGAGGUAAGCGGAACUACAAGUGUAGAGGUGAAAUUCGUAGAUAUUUGUAGGAAUGCCGAUGGGGAAGCCAGCUUACUGGACAGAUACUGACGCUGAAGCGCGAAAGCGUGGGUAGCAAACAGGAUUAGAUACCCUGGUAGUCCACGCCGUAAACGAUGAUUACUAGGUGUUGGGGGUCGAACCUCAGCGCCCAAGCAAACGCGAUAAGUAAUCCGCCUGGGGAGUACGUACGCAAGUAUG
rnacentral:rRNA from 1 species